CCUUCACCUGGAGCUUUAAUCAAGAAAGGGAAGAGUUUAAUAGUGACUAGAAAGGAGCAGCAGUAUGCAUUAGAGUUGGAAAAAUAUAAUAUGUGCUGGUGAAUUCUCAAUAGCCUAUUUAGUCAUAUCGCCUCAGAUAGGCUACCUCUGAUUCGUGUAGCUUCUGUUCUGAUGGCCCCCUGCUGGACGCAUCAGGAACUACAGGGGGGUAGAUCUGCUCCAGGACUGCAGCCUCCUCGUGCAGAGCUCAGCGGGUGUAAACACAUCAGCACAUUCGGCACAUUCGCGAUAGAAAAGCGGCGCUUUCACGUUAUGGUAUUAAUUGUAUUAAUAUUAAAUCGUCCUCAUUUUCACCUCAAAGUUUUGGGGAAGUUGUGCCUCCCCUGACGAGGCACCACUGUUCCCUGUACAGGGAAGCACGACUCCUACAAACUUCUUCCUGCUGUUAUUAUUUGAGCAACAUGGAAAGAAAUGCCUAAACGAUGAAACCUCAAAAUACAGGACGAUAAACAGACGCAUCAAGAGUCACAUAAGAUCAUCAGAACAGAAUAUCAACAUGUCAACCUCAGAAACCACAGUGAUUGUCGUCCACAAUCCUCCUCAUAGGAGAAGACGGAGCAAAGAACGACCUCCUCUGUUGAGGAUUGUUCUUCUGGGUUCGAGCGUAUCAGAAAACAGUCUGGUGGGGAACUUCAUCUUAGGACGAGCAGCGUUUGACUGUGAAGCUCCUCCAGAUGUUGUAGAGAGAGUCAGAGGAAGACUGAAGGACAGAGACGUGAUGGUCAUCAACAGUCCUCAGCUGCUCCAGAGGAACAUCUCAGAUCAUCAGAUCACACAGACAGUGAGAGAGUGUGUGUUUCUGUCUGAUCCAGGACCUCAUGUGAUCCUGCAGAAGAUCAGGAGCGUGUGGAGAAGGUGCUGCUCUCUUUCUCUGAGCAGGUUUAUCAACACACCAUGGUGCUCACAACACAAGAGCCCACAGAAACCAGUGACAUCCUACAGAACAUCAUUCAGAAAUGUGCAAACAGACACUUCAUUCUUCAGAGGAGCAGCUCUCCUGAUGAUCUUCUGCAGAUGUUUGAGGACAUUGUGAAGAUGAAUGAUGGACGACACCUGGAUUGUGCUGAAGUUUCAGAGUGUGUGAAGCUGAAUCUGGUUGUGUGCGGGAGUGACGGGACAUUGAAAUCCUUCAUAUCAGAUCUGAUCCUGCAGCAGACAGACAGAAGAUCAGACGUGGAGCUUUGUGUAAUAGAGCUUCCAGCUCUGAUCCGGCUCUCAGAGGAGGAAGUGAUGCGUCAGACUCUCUGCUGUGUGUCUCGCUGUGAUCCUGGAGUUCAUGUGUUCGUCCUCAUCAUUCCUGAUGCUCCACUAACUGAUGAAGACAGAGCAGAAAUAGAAGAGAUCCAGAGGAUCUUCAGCUACAAGAAUAUUUCUAGUGAGUGAGUCUGAGGAUUGUGGUUCUGGGUUCGGUAGCGUGUCAGAAAACAAGUCUGUGGGGAACGUUCAUCUUAGGACGAGCAGCGUUGACAGUGAAGCUCCUCCAGAUGUUGUAGAGAGAGUCGGAGGAAGACUGAAGGACAGACACCUGAUCAUCAUCAACAGUCCUCAGCUGCUCCAGAGGAACAUCUCAGAUCAUCAGAUCACACACACAGUGAGAGAGUGUGUGUUUCUGUCUGAUCCAGGACCUCAUGUGAUCCUUCUGCUCCUCAAACAUGAGCUGUGUUCAGCAGAAGAUCAGGAGCGUGUGGAGAAGGUGCUGCUCUCUUUCUCUGAGCAGGUUUAUCAACACACCAUGGUGCUCACAACUCAAGAGCCCACAGAAACCAUUGGCAUCCUACAGAAUGCAGAUGUUUGAGGACAUUGUGAAGAUGAAUGAUGGACGACACCUGGAUUGUGCUGAAGGUUCACAGUAUUUCACAAUGGAUGAUAUUGUGUGAUGAUAUUAGAUGUUUAUAUAGAUACAUUAAUGUUUUUAUUUUCUUCUGAUCUCAGUUUCAGAGUGUGUGAAGCUGAAUCUGGUUGUGUGCGGGAGUGACGGGACAUUGAAAUCCUUCAUAUCAGAUCUGAUCCUGCAGCAGACAGACAGAAGAUCAGACGUGGAGCUUUGUGUAAUAGAGCUUCCAGCUCUGAUCC
rnacentral:lncRNA from 1 species